CAUCAGCUGUUUCCUGGCUCACUGUUUUUUCAGCCUGGUGGAUUGUGCGUGUGUUGGGGGGGGGGGGAUAGACACGGUCAGUGGUGUCAGCCCUUCUGCCCCCCCACCCCCAGGCACUUCCGCCAUGCUUCAACUACUGCAAGUGCCACUGAGAGGACAGGCCGUCGGACCCCGGGCCCAAAUGCCAAGAAGCUCCGCACUGAAAGUGCAGCAGUGCCGCUACUCAUGUCAAACAUGCAGAAAGCCCAGAGGAAGCUCUGAGGAAGCCGAGAAGGUCCACAGAGGAACCGCAGAGGAACACAAACAAAGCUGGAGAGGGAAGUGAAGGUGUGUAGGGUAUGACUGUUUGGACAUACCAUCUCAGCUUGAACCUACUGAGAGACACAACUAGGCCCGCUGCCACAAAACUGGAGACACAGCCCCAAACUCCACACCCCCCAGGCCCUCACUGGGGGUCUUAUUUCACCAUUGGCAUUAAGGGGACGUGCCUUGGAUUGUCCAGCCAUCUGAGUUUCAUACACGCCUCGGCGAUUGGAGGGGGGAGGGGGGGCAGUGGGAUUUGCGUAAGUGACAGCCAGGAAUGUCGUCCCCGCCAGGGCGACCUGUAUCUGUCACGGGCACAUUAGCCACUGACGCACAAACUCACGGCUCAAUGGCGCUGAAGGAAGAUCUCGUACUUGCAUCGCCCACCCUGGUCUGUUGUCGCGACCCGAUUUCCCAGAUUCCUCAGCCUGAAACAACCCAACGGACCCAGACAGAAAAAUAAAUCAUGAGAUCCACUGCCAAACACUGAAUAACACUGGACAACAAAAAAAAACAUCCAGAAGCCAUGAAACUCUCCAGGCACUACAUACAGUGGGCUUAGGACAGGGGUUUGGCUUCAGGACACAUGGUCAUUAAGUCACGACCCAAAAAUGGAGUCAGGGGGGUGGGGUGUGUUGCAAUGGAUUGCAAUAAAAACUGUUGACUGA